GGUUGUGAUGAGGAAUGCUUCUUCUGACACCUCUUGUAUGAGAGGGGCACAAUAAGGGCCCGUCUUUGAGCAGAGUAGCAAACUUCUGAGCC